GGAGAGUAUAGCUCAGUGGUAGAGUGUGUGCUUGGCAUGCACAAGGUCCUGGGUUCAAUCCCCAGUACCUCCA
rnacentral:tRNA from 1 species